rnacentral:rRNA from 1 species
AACGAACGCUGGCGGCGUGUUUAAGACAUGCAAGUCGCACGGGACUAUUUGAGUAGCAAUACAAGAAUAGUUUAGUGGCGCACGGGUGAGUAACACGUGAAUUACAUGCCCUGCAGAGGGGGAUAGCCCAGGGAAACUUGGAUUAAUACCCCAUGGUAUCGCGAGAUUAAAGGUGGCCGCAAGGCUGUCGCUGCAGGAUUGGUUCGCGCCCUAUCAGCUUGUUGGUGAGGUCACGGCUCACCAAGGCUACGACGGGUACCUGGUCUGAGAGGACGAUCAGACACACUGGAACAGAGAAACGGUCCAAACAGCUAGGGGUGGCAGCAGUCGAGAAUAAUACACAAUGGGGGCGAACCUGAUAGUGCAACGCCGCGUGGAGGAUGAAGGUGUUCGGAUUGUAAACUCCUGUCAUCCGGGAGUAAGACCUGGCGAUGAAUAGUCGACAGGGUUGAUAGUACCGGAAGAGGAAGGGACGGCUAACUUCGUGCCAGCCGCCGCGGUAA